CCCUUAGAUGUUCUGGGCCGCACGCGCGCUACACUGAUGAAUUCAACGAGCUCCUAACCUAGGCCGAAGGGUCCGGGUAAUCUUUGAAAUUUCAUCGUGAUGGGGAUAGAUUAUUGCAAUUAUUAAUCUUCAACGAGGAAUUCCUAGUAAACGCAAGUCAUCAGCUUGCAUUGAUUACGUCCCUGCCCUUUGUACACACCGCCCGUCGACUCUACCGAUUGAAUGGUUCGGUGAAAACUUUGGACUGUGGCAUUGUCCUUCAUUGGACUUCGCCGUAGGAAAUUGUUUAAACCUCAUCAUUUAGAGGAAGAAUAAGUCGUAACA
rnacentral:rRNA from 1 species